rnacentral:lncRNA from 1 species
GUAGAUAUCGCCUCUCUCAUUCAAAAUUUCCUUUCUAUAUAUUAUCAAUAAUAAUAAUAAAGCCAUGCCCCGUUUUAAGUGUUAUAACUCCCGAUCACCGCUACCCUUUCCGAUUGAUCUGAGCCCCAUAACAUAUGUCAAGGCUCUGCCUGACUAAGUUCGUUGGUAUUCUGUCUCGGGACAUCGGGACAAGGUGAUUACAGUAGAUGGGAAUAAGAGUUGGAUACGGCACAAAAAAGGCUUACCGAAGUGGCUUGAUUUAUCAAUUAAAUAAAAAUUAAGAAAAGUUGUUUUAUGAAAUCAAGUUUAUAUUAAAAGCUACCUUUGUAAAACAUGGAAUU